rnacentral:rRNA from 1 species
CAGUCGCCGCGGUAAUACGGAGGGGGCUAGCGUUGUUCGGAAUUACUGGGCGUAAAGCGCACGUAGGCGGCUUUGUAAGUUAGAGGUGAAAGCCCGGAGCUCAACUCCGGAAUUGCCUUUAAGACUGCAGAGCUAGCAGGUGAGAGAGGUGAGUGGAAUUCCGAGUGUAGAGGUGAAAUUCGUAGAGAUCGGGAGGAACAUCAGUGGCGAAGGCGGCCAUCUGGGACAACACUGACGCUGAGGCACGAAAGCGUGGGGAGCAGACAGGAUUAGAUACCCCCGUAGUCCCUGUCUCUUAUAA